rnacentral:tRNA from 1 species
GCCGAAGUAGCUCAGCUGGUAGAGCAGCUGAUUUGUAAUCAGCCGGUCGUGGGUUCAAAUCCUAUCUUCGGCU